UACGUAGGGUGCGAGCGUUGUCCGGAAUUAUUGGGCGUAAAGGGCUCGUAGGCGGUUUGUCGCGUCGGGAGUGCAAACCUACAGCUUAACUGUGGGCUUGCUUUCGAUACGGGCAGACUAGAGGUAUGCAGGGGAGAACGGAAUUCCUGGUGUAGUGGUGAAAUGCGUAGAGAUCGGGAGGAACACCCGUGGCGAAGGCGGCCUGCUGGGCCGAUCCUGACGCUGAGGCGCGAAGGCGUGGGGAGCGAACGGG
rnacentral:rRNA from 1 species